GACGAACGCUGGCGGCGUGCUUAACACAUGCAAGUCGAACGGAAAGGCCCUGCUUUUGUGGGGUGCUCGAGUGGCGAACGGGUGGGUAACACGUGAGUAACCUGCCCUUGACUUUGGGAUAACUUCAGGAAACUGGGGCUAAUACCGGAUAGGAGCUCCUGCUGCAUGGUGGGGGUUGGAAAGUUUCGGCGGUUGGGGAUGGACUCGCGGCUUAUCAGCUUGUUGGUGGGGUAGUGGCUUACCAAGGCUUUGACGGGUAGCCGGCCUGAGAGGGUGACCGGCCACAUUGGGACUGAGAUACGGCCCAGACUCCUACGGGAGGCAGCAGUGGGGAAUAUUGCACAAUGGGCGGAAGCCUGAUGCAGCAACGCCGCGUGCGGGAUGACGGCCUUCGGGUUGUAAACCGCUUUCGCCUGUGACGAAGCGUGAGUGACGGUAAUGGGUAAAGAAGCACCGGCGAACUACGG
rnacentral:rRNA from 1 species